GCUCUGACCCUGCUGACUGGUAUUAAAUGACUGUACCCAAGACCAUGUGGCUAAACAUGGAAUAAUUAAAAUGAGAAUCUGCUCUUCACAGUCUACAAGGCUAUAAUGCUGACAGUUCUAGGAUGCUAACUGAACAGCUGUUUGAAAAAGAAAAUGUUAAUGGAGAGAAACUAAAAAGGAGCCAUUGGGUUUACUCCAAAAGCAAGAGAAUAGCGUUUUGUGCUCCAUAACAUUUGUUUGGUGGCAAAUCCCAGUUAGCAGAGAGUGGCUUCAAUGAGUGGAAACACACACUUUAUUAAAUAAACACGAGCGUUCAACUGAACACAAAUCCUGCAUGCUCUCUUUAAAAUCAAGAGCAUGGCUAUUGG